GGAUUGUUCUGAGUGACACUGGCAUGCAAAUAAAUAACACUGAAACUUGGAAGAGUGCUAAUUAAAAUUUAUUAUAACCUGACUGACCUGACUUGGCACCAUGGUAUCUCGCCAAACUGGCUCUUUAUUCUUACACGUGUCUGAUUUGUGUUUGUGGUGUGCAGCUAAUGAGCUCAUGGAAUUGUUUGGCCUAAUCCUGCUCUCUUUACACUCCAGAAGUCUUCUGUGAGGAAGAACAAGGAACAUCAAAAUGAGGAACAAGAACAAGGAAUAUUAAAAUGAGGUUCACUGGGUCCUGGCAAAGAUCCCCAAGACUCUGCUGUCCAGAAUUAUCCCAAACAUGAAUCCCUGAGUGCUCUUAGCAUCUGCUCCAGACCAGUAUCCCUUAACACAGGUGUGAGCCACAGAGAGAGAGAGCAGCUAUCCCUGGAAAUGGCUUGGGAAUACCAUGGAGGAAGCAGGAGCAUUGGUGAGAUUUUGAGGACGGAAGAGUGAAAGAUGAAGUGCUAAAUCUGAGAGUGUGGCUGCUAAAAUGAGCUGCUGAACAUCAGAGAGCAGGAAUUACUGCAUUUCCUGAGAUUGUUGCAGAACCUCUGAGCCUUUUAUUUUUUAGUAGUAGAAAUCCACAUGGGUCUCAAGAAGUGUUAAAAUAACAGCUUUUGAAAGCAACAGUUUUCCAUCAAGGCAAAAAUAUAUUUUAUAUGCAUAAAAUAGGUAUCUUAUGCUCUGUGUUUAUCUGUUUUGCCCAUUCCAGGUCCCCUGAGCAGAUAAUGCUGCAGUCUCAGCUCCCACAGCCUCCACCCUCAGCUCCCUCUCCCUCCACCCUGGCUGCUGUGCUGUACAUCAUUUCAAAGGAGCACAGUUGGGUACUGGACUGUAAUUUCUCAUGCAGCUCAGAUCAAGUCCAUUAGUUUAUUUGAAGGUUAGGACCAAGACCAUGGAGGUGCAUGAGGAGCUAAUAGACAGACCGGUGCUCCUGCUGUGCUCACGGGGGCUUAAACCAGGGAGAAAAUAGUCAGGCACAUCCAUAUUAUUUUCACCUUUUGCUUCACGAUUUGCAGUAGUCUCAUUCAUAAAUGACAAAGAAACAGCUCCCUGCUGUGAGGUCCUCAUACCACAGAGAGCUGUAAUGAGUUUGUAACGAGAUGGAGAUAAGGAAGAUUUUUUGUGAUUACUCAGACAAAUCUCUGAGUGCAAAUCAGAGGUGUGCUGAGCGAGGGGUAUGUCUUUCCAUCACUCUCCAUGGCUUAAACAUCUGAGGAUACUUAAGGUAUUCUCAUGGUAUUUUGCAAGAAGAACUCAGUAAGACAAAAAUGUUCUAAAUGCAUCUUUAUGGAUUUCUUGCCUUCUGUGUGUGUCAGAAUCUUUUGUAAUUUGACAGCCACUAGCAGUGAUUAAUGGCUUGCAAUAUGGCUAGGGGCAAUGUGUGUUUCAAAGUCAGUAUCAGGGAAGCCUCUGUGAUCUGGGAAGUCUUUGGCUCUGGAACUGUCUCCUUGCAAAAUCAGAAAUAAGUGUUUUGCCUGUGUGCUCCUUGAAGAGCUCCAAAUAAACAGCUGGAAUAUUAAUGAAGAUGAGAGUGAAAAACAGGGGAAUAUUCACCUUGGAGUGUGGUGCUAAACUAAGAUUUAAGGGUUGUUUCUGUUUCAGUCUUUUAUGACAGCUAUAGUAAAUUUAUAUUUUUCAUAUGUAUGCAUAUAUAUUCGUGGAGGUGUAUACAUAUAAAUGCUCCAGAAAGAAAUAUUUUAUUUUCAUUUCCUUAGAAGAAUCAGGUGUUUUCUGUGUUGAAUCUUAGCAUGGGUAAUAUAUAUCCAGAUAUUAAAGUAACCAUGGCAAAAUAAUUAAAUAAAUAUUUCCAA